rnacentral:lncRNA from 1 species
AGUUUUUUAAAGACAAACUAUGUAACGUCUAUUUGUAUAAAAACGAUAAACUAGAGUUGAUAAAGCAUUUAGAAAAUGUAAUCAUAAGAAAAGUAUGUACGUGUAGUAACAGCAUUAAUGUGAUACUACAACAUUUGGAGGGUGAGGAUGAAGAGGAAAAGGUAAACAAAUUAAUAGACAUGAACCAUUUAACCUGUACAUAUGGUAAGGUCAACAGCAAUAAUACAAAUAACAAAAGCUACUUACACAUAUCCUAUAAUAAUAUGUAUGAUUUUACAUAUGUAACAUUUGAUUUAUUUUUAUAUUCCUUCUAUUUUAAUAAUUAUAAUAAAACUAAUAAAAAACACAUAACUGAAAAUGGAAACGAUAGUAGUGAAUGUUUAAAAAAUGAGAAGGAAGUAGAAAGUAACAACGUAUUGAUUAAAAAAGAUUUAAAAAAAUUGUUAAAAAAUGACAAUCAUAAUAAUAGUCAUAGUCGUAGUCAUAGUCAUGGUCAUAUUUUUGUAUAUGACACGAUAAAUAGAUCGGACAAAAAUGAAACUACUUUGGAGAAUAAUUAUAAUAAUAAUAGAAAUAAUAGUAAAAAUGUAGAAUGUCCAAUUGUAUAUACAAAGCAUUUUCCUACACAUUCAGAUAAUAAAAUAUAUUUUUGCUCACACGAAUUUUACUGCAUUACUAAAAAAAAUGAAGUCAUUAAGUGGUCUACUAAUCCAAAUACUAACAUUAUAACACUUCCUUACAGUUGCGUUUCUACAUUUAUCAGUUAUAUAAAUUUUGGUGAAAAAAUAAAAAUUGUUUAUAUAUCUUGCGGUUAUAAUCAUGCUCUUUUUUUGUCAUCAAAUAAAAAUUGUUAUGCCCUGGGUGGAAAUGAGUUCUAUCAAAUUUGUGGAAAUGAAAAAACAAAACAAAACUUUGUUAACACCCCUCAAUUAAUACAAUUCAACAAAACAAAAAUGAAUAGUACAAAUAAAAUAAAAUAUAUAGCAGCAGGAUAUGCACAUAAUUUAGCAUAUACGUAUACACAUGAGUUGUAUGCAUGGGGCAACAAUGUGCAUAAACAACUUUUUACAAAGGAUGAUGUUAUUAAAUGCCCAACGCUCAUUUUAAACCAACGCAUAUGGAUUAGUGUGAUGAAAGAAGUAAGGAGGCGUAAGCGAGAAAAAAAAGGGGAAAAACUAGGGGAAAAACUAGGGGAAAAAAAAGGAGAAAAAGAAGGAGAAAAAGAAGGAGAAAAAGAAGGAGAAAAAAGAGAAAAGGAAGGAGAAAAAAACUCAGCAAACAUGACUGAAAUGCAUAUCCAUACCCAAGUAGACAAUAUAAAUAAAACGUAUCACACAAUUAACAAGUUAAAACGCGAAAACAAAUUUGAAAUAAUAAAACUUUGUUGUGGUUUUUCUUUUUCUUGUUUGUUAUUAAAAUCUAAAGAUUGUUAUCUGCUGGGUAAAACAAAUAUAUUAAGCAAUAACAAAACCAACGUUGAUAACAAAACUGAUACAAUAAAAAAAAUAAACAAAAAUAAAAAAAUAGAAAACGUAUUUUGUAACUUUUUUCAUAUAAUUCUAAUACAAUAUUUUAAGAUUAAAAAAAUAAUCCCAACAAUAAUAAAUCCGAAUUCAAAAGAACCCGUUUUCAUUUUUUGUAAUUUCCCAAUAAAACAAAAAUUAAGCUGUAAAAUAAAGUUAGACAUGAUUGAGUUAGAUAAAAAUAAUGAAAAGCGAAUUGAUGACAAAUGGGUACAUACUAGUAAUGUUAUGCGUGUUAGUAGCAGUAAUAAUGACAGUAAUAGUGAAGACAAUAGUGAUGAUAAUAGUAAUAUAAUACAGUUUAUUUUUUAUUAUGGUAAACAUAAACAAUGGUCAAGUUAUUUGAAGUGGCCCAUACAAGGUGUACAUGAUAAUAAUAAAGACUCUAACCACACGGUAAUACCGGAUGAAGAUAAGCAUGAAAGUUUUAAAAGAUUAUACAAAAUAAAUAAAAAUAUAAUUAAUAAAAAAGUAUUUUUAAUUUUAUAUAAUUCAAAUUGGUAUGUUUCUUAUAAGAAAAAUAUUAUUAUUUCGAAUUACGAGAGUAAAAUAAAAAGCAUCAAACCAAACACUAUAGCUUUAUCAAAAAACAUAAAACUAACAAUACAUAUAAAAAAAACACCACUUUACAUUGAAAAUAAUAACAUAUAUGUUUUUUAUUGUUUCACAAAUGACAAUAAUAAUAAUAACAAAUUAUAUAAAGUGACUAAAGGUAUAAUGAAUAAAAAAAGGACACAUAUAUAUACAAAGUUAUCUUUCAUAAAAAAUAAAACUAGUACAUGUGUUUAUCGUAAAAGUUGUGAUGACAACGACUCUGACACUAUGUGUAAUAGUGACGACUGUUUUAUUAUCAAUAAUGAUUCUAUUUCGGCUUGUUCAAAUGAAGUUAAUAAAUUGUGUAUAAGUGCGAGUGGGAAUAAGUAUAAACAUCCAAACGAAUUGUCGCAAGAUUUUACCAAGUGUUUUAUACAACUUGCAAUUAAUAAUUGUUUAUAUAAAUAUUCAUGUCCAAUUACUAUUAUAAAGCCUGACAUAUUAAACAUAACACCUGAUGUUGUUUGUAUACAUGCAAAUAAUAACAUUAGUAUAAACAUGUUACAUCUUACUAACGACUUGGAAUAUAUUCAUGUAUUAUUAUAUAAUCCUUUGUUAACAUUUUUAUAUAUAAAGGCUUACUAUAACCACCAACAAAAUAAUUUUGUAUUUACUCUUCCGUUAAUACCUACUGUCGUUUUUGCAAAAAUGCGCAAAGACUAUAUAAAGUUUCGUGUUUUUGCCUCCUACAACAACAUGGAAUAUAGUGAAAACCAAAUUUUAUUAACUGUUUCAAAUGCAUGAUAUUUUUUAAAAGACAACCUAAAUAUUUAAAGUUAGUCAAGUUAGUCAAGUUAGUCAAGUUAGUCAAGUUGGUCAAAUUAGUCAAAUGAGUGAGUGAGUGAGUAAAAAAAAAAAAAAAAAAAAAAAAAGACAUGCACACCUGUAUACGGAAAAUAAAAACAUAAUAAUCCAUAUAUAAGCA